rnacentral:tRNA from 3 species
AAAACUUAAGAAAGAAUAUAAUAUUCUAUUAAUUU